UGGAACUUCAUGGAAUGGCCGAGCAGCUGCACGCCUGACAUCACCAAGUACAAUGCCAAGUGUCAGAUCAAGUGGUGUAAAGCAUGCUGUCACUGGACUCUGGAGGUGGAGAAAUGUGUUCUGUGGAGUCAUGCUUUUCUGUUUUGCCGUCUGAUGGGCAAGUCUGGGUUUGGCGAAUGAUAGAACAAUAACUGCAUGACUACUUUGUACCAACUGUAAAGUAUGGUGGAGGAGGGAUAAUGGUAACAGUUUAGGAAAG